UCUUCUCUGGAAAAAGGUACGAUCCUCUAACCACUUCGGUUUCAAUGGUUUCUCUCUCUCAUUCAUCUACUUCUCUUUUAUAUAUAUUCUAUCAGUGCAUUACUUUCAUGGUUUAUUUCAUUUCGUGGGUCUUUAUCUCAGUUUCAAGGUUCUCCAUUUUGUCUAAUUUGUGAUUCUCCCUUUCCGUUUAAUUUUCUUCUGGUUGCCUUUUUGUUUUUUUUGUUUUUUUUACUUUUGGUACUCCUUUAAGUGGAAGUGCCUUGGUACGACCAAGGACAUUUCUAUAAUUCACAUGUCAAUAGCAAGCAUACAUGUUUAAAUGUAGACACAACACGUGCUAGAUGCUAUUACUCAUUUAUUUUUUUCCUCACCAGUUGCUCAUUCGUCAUUUUGGGUUAUCUUUCUAAUUCCAAAUUAAUCCGAAAGCUAAAUGUAACGACCCGACCGGUAGUUUUGAGCUCUAGCGCGUCGUUCAACGAUUUGAGGCCAUGAGUAGCUUCACUUCAGGUAUUAUGACUUGUACGCAUGGUCGGAAUUGAAAUUCGGGUAGUUCGAAUUUGAUUUGGAAAGAAAAUUCUCAUUUCAAAAGUUUUAAGUUGGAAGAAUUGACUAAGAUUGGAUUUUAGAGUAAACGGCUUCGGAAUCGGGAUUUGAAGGUUUCAACAGGUUCGUAUGAUAAUGUUGUACUUGGGCGUAUGUUCGGAUCGGGUUUUGGAUGACCCGGGAGCAUUUCAGCGUCUAUUGUGGAAGUUGGCAUUUUGGAAGAAAUUCAUAAAUUUGGGUUGAAGUGCAUUUCAGUGUUAUCGAUGUCCGUUUGGGAUUUCAAAUCUGGGAAUAGCUCCGUAUGGUGACUUUGAUAUUGGGAGCGCGAUCGGAAGUAAAUUCGGAGGUCCGUAAGUCAUUUUGGAGUCAUUUGGCUAAAGUUAGAAAUUUCAAGGUUUUUGAGAAGUUUGACUGGAAGUAGACUUUUUGAUAUCGGGGUCGGAUUCCAAUUUCGGAAGUUGAAGUAGGUCAGUAAUGUCAAAUGUGAAUUGUGUGCAAAAUUUGAGGUCAGUUGGACAUGAUUUGAUAGGUUCUGGCAUUGAACAAAGAAGUUUGAAUUUCUGAAGUUCAUCAAGUUUGAAUUGGGGUGAGAUUCGUGAUUUUAGUGUUGUUUGAUAUGAUUUGAGGCCUCGAGCAAGUCCGUAUUAUGUUUUCAGACUUGUGCGAGUGUUUGGUUCGGAGCCUGGAGGCUCGGGUAAGUUUCGGAGUAGAUUCAGAGCAUUUUGUUGAGAAGUGGGAUUUCUGAUACUGGUGCGAUCGCAAUUGCGAUGUUUUGAUCGCAAAUGCGGUCAUAGCAUUUGUGGGGUUUUGUUCGCAUUUGCGAACCUGGGAGCUGAGGGGAUAGUUCACAUUUGCGACAAAUGGGUCGUUUUUGCGAGGCCUGAAGGGUUCGCAUUUGCAAACCCUGUAUCGCAUUUGCUAUCUCCCUUUCGCAAAUGCGACAUCUGCGACUGGAACCAAGGGCUUUUUAUUCUGAGACUUAGCCCAUUUCCCUCAUUUUCCACUUGGUCAUAGGCGAUUUUUGAGGGCAUUUGAGAAGGGGUUCCAUCAUCAUCAAGAGGUAAGUGAUUUCUUCUAGUUAUGGCUUAAAUUCAAGGAUUAUAUAUGGAUUUAAACAUGUAAAAUUGUAGAAAUUAGGGAUUUUGAAGAAAAAUCUAAAAAUUGGUAUUUUUGGAUUUUGACUACAACUUUGGGCAUGGAAUUGGAAAUAAAUUAUAUAUUUGAGUUCGUGGGGUUAUGGGUAAAGUGUAUCUUAAAAAAUUUCAGAAUCCGGACACGUGGGGCCGAGGGUGAUUUUAUCGACUUUCCGAACAGAGUUGAAAAAUUGUUGUAAAUAGGAUUAUGAUGAAUAUUAGAGUAUAUAUUUAUGAAAUUUCUCAAUAUAUGACUAGUUUUGGAGCGUCGAGCAUUGAUUUGAGUUGUUUGAAGGGCUUCGGAGCCGGAUAUGGAACUUCGAAGCGAGGUAAGUAUCCUUUCUAACCUUGUAAGAGGGAUAUAACCCCGUAAGUGAACUAAAUUAUUAUGCGUUUCUACUUGUGAGGGCUACGUAUGUACGAGGUAAUGAGAGUCUGUACGUAGCUAUUAGUUAUGCCUAUGUCCGGGUAGUUUUAGGCUCACAUCAUGCCUUUUCGAUAUUGUUUUUGAUCUAUGCUCAUUGUUGCCUUGAGAGGGAGCGAGAUUGAGUUUGCUUAUUAAAUAUUUUGAAAGGAGUUGAAAUUAAAGAAUUUAAUAUUUAAAAGGUUUCAUUUGAACUUCGUAAUUUCGAAAAGAAUUGAGGAAUAUUAUAACAGCUUAAGAAAUCUAUGUGCAUCCGCGUCGCAUGUAUGUUUCGCGAGCGGGGUAAUUUCCUUAAAAAAGCUACAAGCUGAAUUUCCCUUAUUUUAAAAUGAAUUAAGAAAGAGAUAUGAUUUUAAUGUUAAAUUUAUAUUUGAACGCGUCGCAGGUAUGAUUUGCGAGCGGGGUAAUUUCUUAAAUUUAUAUUUGACUGCGUCACAUGUAUGAUCGCGAGCGGGGACUGCGUCACAUGUAUGAUUCGAGAGCGGGGAAAUAGAUGCAUCUAUGGUUCACACCGUUCGACCCUCGGUAGUGCACAAUUUAUAUUUAUGUUGGAUCGGGUCGAACGUCCUCGGUGAAAAUUAUGUGUGACAAUAUAUCUGGAAACCCUUUUUAUAAUUUGUAUAAAUUCAUCGUUGAAAGAUCAUUUAUUUUAAAUGAAGGGAGUGUUUUGGGGUUCCUUAAUAAUAAUGAAAGAAUUGUCCAGUUCUCUUCUUGUUUUGAGUUUGGUUGUGUUCUCUACAUAUCAUGUUAAAUUAGAACUUUAUAUUAUGAUAUUAUUGGACCAUUAGUAAGUGUCGAAGUCGAUCUCUCGUCACUGCUUCUUCGAGGUUAGACAGAAUACUUACUGGGUACGCUUUAUUUUUGUACUCAUACUACACUUGCUGUGCAUUUUUGUUGCACAGGCACAUGUACGUCUAGUGGCCUCGUUGGGCGCAGCGGCAUGGUGGAUACAGAGGCUUGGGUGAGCUGCAUCUCUCAAGACGACCCGCAGCCUGUAGAGUCUCUCUCGGAGUAUUGUAUUGUAUUUUCUCUACCGUCCAAUUUGUAUUCCGGACGGUUAUUAUAUUACAUUUACUUCCUAGAAAUUGCUCAUGCACUUGUGACACCGGGUUUUGG
rnacentral:lncRNA from 1 species